rnacentral:lncRNA from 1 species
AGCAAACCGUGGAAGUCAGAAGUACAUCACAGAAGCGUCAAGGAGCUGGCCUUUUUUUCGUCGAUUUAGCUGAUUUAAGGUUCAUAAGGCUGUUCUGCAUCGCUGACGAUGACAAAAGUUACUGUGGGAAAUUACUGAAUGGGAUCGACAGCAUGAAAGGAAAACAUUUUUCUUUGAGAUAAACGUGCUUACCAGGAUGAUGCAGAGAUGGAAGAAGUGGCUGCAGGGCUAUAACGUCACCUCAGCAUCGGUGAGGUAAUCCACUUAUCCCGUUUUUGUUCUUUUCGAGGAAUUUGUUCCAAUCUGGAGAUUAUACAAUCUGCACUGAGCUAGGAAUUUAAUAAUAACAUGUACAUGUACAACCAUCGCGAAUAAUAGAGGCCUGUACAAGCAAUAGACUUAAUCCAGUCGAUCGGUACUCCCGUAUAAUGUUCGCCUCGGUACGAGUUUAUCCUUAUAUCACACCAAAAGCUGAAGGUCACAUCCAGCAUCCACGUAUUUUGAGACCUGUGGGAGAGCUGUGUGGACCUAAGCAAAAUGAGAAGACAAAUUACCUGGCAACCGUGGUUGCCAGGUAAUAAAUUAGAACAUUUUGGUGUUCGCGGGUUGGCCUUGGACUGGUUCAGAAGUUACGUAUCAAACAGAAGACAGUUUGUCUCUUAUAAUUUCCAUUAUUCAUUAGAAUAGUCCAUCACUUGUGGAGACCCUCAGGGUAGUGUACUAGAUCCAUUUAAUGAUGUACGUAGAACUGCUGAUAGCAUGUCUUUUUGUUUAUUUGCAGAUGAUACUAAUUUAAUUUAUAAUCACCAAAAUGUGGAUACAGCUAUCCAAAAUGUUAAUGUUGAACUUGUUAAAAUAAGUAGAUGGCUUAUUUCGAACAAGGUAUCAAUUAACUUGCUUAAAACUAGCUACAUUAUUUUCUGUCCACGCCAACAUAAAGAUCAGGCCACAGUUCCUCUUAGUUUUGAUGGUAUUGUAAUCAAGUCAAGACUACCAAAUUUCUUGGACUUUGUAUAGAUAAAAACCUGACUUGGAAUUACCACAUUGAUGUCUUAUGUAGUAAAGUAUCUAAAAAUGUUGGGGUUAUGAAUCGUUUGAAGAAUUUGUCCCUAAAAACAUUCUUUUAAUAUUGUACAACUCCUUUAUUCUUUCAUACUUGAAGUAUAGUCUAUUCGAUUUUCGGGGAUCUUCAACUUUACAUUGUUUCAACAAACUCUUUAAGUUACAGAAAAAAGCUGUUCGUACUGUAAAUAAUGCAGGUUACCUUGAUCAUACCACUCCUCUAUUCUCCAAAUUUAACAUUCUGAAACUAAAUGAUCUCUAUUACCAUCAACUGGGUAUAUUUAUGUAUAAAUACACACAUAAUAUGCUCCCUCAGAUUUUUAAUCAUCUGUUGUAAUUAACUUCUUCUGUCCAUUCGCGUGAAACACGUAGUUCGUCGAAAGGCGAUCUGUACGUGAGCAAAAAAAGAACUUCCUGUUUUAGAAAUAGUUCCUUUCAACGUGGUGUUAUAUACUGGAAUAAACUCGAUACUGGUCUAAAAGAGUGUACUACCUUGGUCUCAUUUGCCAAAUCACUAAAAGAAUUGAUCUUCAAUACUUAUACUUAAAAAAAUCAUCGUUGCGUUGUUUAGGUCAUAAUUUUAAUUUUACAUAUUUUACGAGUGACCUUGGCAAGUGUUGGUUGAGGUCGAUUCAUCGACCCCUGAUUUGAAAGCACGCGCUUUUUUAUCAAAAUACGAACUAGACAACCGUUUCAGUCUUUGUACUAAUCACGAACUUUCCACAACAUAUGGUGCAGACGCAGAGAGUGAGGAAAGCUUGCAAGCUGGAAUUUGACGUUCAAUUUUUUUCUAUUAAAUUUUCCGGAAAACCCACACACCAAUGAAUGUUAGCUAUAUUCUCUCCUACAAGGUAUGCAUGACAAAGGUACGAUAACAAGUAGUCCGGUUCCUUGAAAUGAGGCAGUUUUAUUUGGAAUCAAUUGAACAAACAAACAGAAGUCAAUAACUCACGGGGAAUCAAAUUCGUUGUGAUUACCAUGACAUUGGAAAUACAGAAAAACGAAGUUGACCGUGUAAUUCUGUUUAAAUUCGCAUAGAAAACUCAAAUUAUUUAUCGUUUAUAUCAUUACCGGCCGAAAACUAGCUACUUCUUGGAUUCACCCUGGCCAAAAACCAAUAUAAUGCUUUGAUUUACAUCAUUUAUUUGGGCAUACAUGACUGAUACAUCAACACAGGCGAUAAAGCCAAUUAAAAAUCUCGUUUAUCAAGUUUUGUAUUUUUCCCACGUCUCACGGGUACAAAAUGUACAUAGUUACAAAUCAACAUUAAUCCCCAAAGUUACCCAUUAACAAUAAGCCACGGAAAGCGGGAGAUGUGGAACCAUUUCACCCACAUUUCCAUAUUUUUCUUAUUUCUCAAUGCAUGGAAUUUUUUGAUAAACCUACUUAAACGUCGACACAAAUGUGGAAAUGACAGCAGAAAUUCCACCAAUCAAAGGUCAGCUCAUGCCGAGGUUAAACAAACAUAGUGAUAAAAUGUGAUCAAAACAUUCAAAACAAUAGCACACUCUGAAUUUUUUGUCCGUGAUAACAAACAUGAAGUAUAAUGACGCACACUUUGAUAUACUUCUAAGACCGGGACAAUUAGUUCAGCGUUGUUCCCGGGUACACAUCCCAUGACACAGUUCGAUUUUCAGUGGCGUAUGCAGCAGGCGUUGAUGGAACAAAUUCCCCCAUGUUUCGCCAUUUUGAAGAAAAUUAAAAGUGUCAACAUUUUAGAAACACUACUCUAUAUGUAACACCUUUCAUUUGGAGUAAUGAAAAAACAAUCACUCCGAAAUAACAAAAUUAACUUUUGAUCUACCACUGAUGACUUGCUGCUAUAUAUCAUGAUCCUUGAUCCUUUACCCUUUGUAGAGUUGAGGACUGAAUUGGGGGCUAAAUUUGAGUGAUGUGUUUUCAUUUACCAUUGUUUAGCAAGAUAGCCUACGUAAAUGUUGAAUUAGUUCGUCUAUUGAAUGGUUUCAGAAAGACAAAAUUGCCAUCACAUUAUCAUGUACAAAGCACAUCUUUCGAACAUUUGAACCAGUAAUUCAUACAUUUAAAGUUUAAAUGUUUGCAGUUUAAAUGAGCUGUCACGGACCACAAGCAUUUGACCGGUGCCUUUAUUCAGUUGAAUCUAAUAUAUACAUACAGAAGUCCUAAAAAACCUCAGGACGUAUGAAACUUUUAGUUUGUAGUUAGCAAAUAUCGAUAACGAUGGGACGAUGUCGGACUGCUGCUAUAAAGAGAAUGUAAAAAGGUAAAUCUUGGCAUUAUUUUACGUAAUUCCCAUACUCAUAUAUGGCGCAAAUUGUGCUGGGGAAUUCAUGACAAAAUCUCCUUUCUGAAAGUAGAAAUUAUUAAAUGUAUAUACGCCUUUAUUGGAUGCAUUCUUUAUACAGUUCUAGUCAUAUGUCAAAUGGUAGUUUGAAUUAUCGCUGAAUUUUAUCUUGUAAACGUUUGCUUAACUAAUUUUACUAAGGACUACAAUGUACAACAUUUUAGUUCGAUAGUUCUCUGACAUAUUUGAACCACUUUGGACAUUUCUGACGAGCCGCGCAAAUUUUAGCUGUUUUGGGAACCACAAAAUUAGCCUAACCCCAGACAAUUUGGCUACAAGUUGGAUUCGUUACAUAGUAAGUAACACUAUUGAUGAGAUAUAUUUUUCCUAAAGAGCAGCUCUAGGUAAAACAUGCUCUCUCUGAUUUUAUCUGUUCAACUAAAUAUGGAAGCGUUCAAAUCGAACGCAGUGUCAGUUGUCUUCACAGCUCUACUAUAACAAGCUAUAAAGGGUUUUCUGUUCAUUCCAAGAUGCGAAUUUUGGAUGCAUAUUGCGUCAUUGAAGAGAAAACAGCGAAAACGAGGGGACCCCUCGCCCUAUGUUCGUAGUGGAUAAACCAUUGUGCUUGCCAAACAAUCGUUUGGCAUACGCGGGACUCAGGACUUCCCCUGGGCCAAAUUGGUUCUUGACGUGGAGCUGGAUUUGAUCGAGCCACUCCAAGGAUCGGCUUAAGCGUCUUAGGGCUGGACUGUAGGGUAAACGAAUGCACCCCUUCAAGCGUGUCGCCCUUUUAAAGCUGUAGCAUUUUAGGAAGAGUACUUUCAUUUUCUUUCGAAGGAGAGUGAUCUUUCAUGGAUGACAAAAAAUGGACGGUAACUUUUCUGAAAAAUAAAUCUCAGAAAUAUAUGUCACCCCUCAAUGAAAGACCUAAAAGCCCCACAGAUGACACGGCACAGUGCACGAAUCAUCUGUGUGGGCUUACUAGCGACACCUCAUUUAUAAAUACAUGCAGUCGAGGAUUACUUCAAUCUGGUUCGAAAUCUAUGUACAGUGGGAGAACUAGGCCUACGUGUAUUUGUCUUUAUCUUUUUGGACUGUGAGUGGCUAAACUUUUUUUCAGGCAGCCAACCUAUCAACUGUUUUUUGGCAUUUGUCGACGUUCUUCAUAUAAUCACACUAGACUCUUAAUUCUGAAUCA